GAUGUCCUUGGAGAAGAUGGCCAUUGGAGUGUAGGGGAGAAACAACCUUGUCCUGCUCGAGGAGGAGGAGGACCACCCGAGCUCGACGACGACACAGCAACAGGUAGCACUCGCCUCUCUCCCAAGGUGAAGGUCUGAUCCGCCUAUUUAGAUGGUCUGCUCUCGUCUUAUGCAUGUGAGGGGAGAAGAAAGCCAUUGGACCGAAUUAUAUUUGCAUGUGAGGGGAGUGAUCCUUUUGGUAGAUGCAGAGUAUAGAUUCACAAAAUUCACCACAUGAGCGUACUACCUAUAUCCAAAUUCUGGAUACCACUUGCAUCUUUUGUAUGUACACAUGAAAAAGCACGACGAUUUACUUCAGUUUGUAGGUGUCCAAUUGUUUUUUACUUUUGACUGAAACUAUCUAUCUUGGUGGCACUUGCAUCUCCUGUACAUACAUACAUAUGAAUCAGCACCACACUUUUCUUCAGUUUGUAUGUGUCAAUUUUUUUGGUUGAACUUUGACUAAAACCAACUGGAUGGCACCUCAAUCUGUACAUACACAUGAAUCAGCACCACCCUUGGUUCAGUUUUGUAUGUGUCCAUUUGUUUUAUUACUUUGACUAAAGCCAACUUGAUGACACUUGCAUCUUCUGUAUAUACAUAUAUACAUAUGAAUCAGCACCACUCUUUUUCUCUUUGAAGCUUGCCUUGAACAACAACUGAUGCUUGAUAGAUACAACCGAAACUGGAGCAUCUCUGUACUGUAUGUAUUAGUAGUAUUGUUGGGUUCAAGCACCAACAUGACAAGUUAUCUUCAGCAAAAGCAAUAAUUUCCUGCCUUUUUAGUUUGAUGCCCCUGUUCUAGGCGAUUUUCUUUUGGUAAAUUCAAUGUAUAAUUACAUAUUCAUCCUCAUAUGUAGGAUCUUCGGUUUGUUGUACUGACUGUAUGCCACCUCCAUCAUUGCAGCCUUGUCUCCCCCACCACCGCCCCUCGCCCUCCUAUAAUGUUGUUGUGGAUUCUUAGAAUGGAAAUGUUAUGUACAUAAAAAAUAUACUAUGGUCUGUGUUUGCAAAUCCAUGGCUGUUGAAUCAUGUCUGUAUAAGCAUUUGUAAUAAAUAGCUAGCUUUGUUGGCUAAUCUUUUUUUUUGGUCUGGUCAGCAAGUAUGCCGACGGCAAUGCUGUAGGCAUAGAUGGCUGUCGUGACACCAGG
rnacentral:lncRNA from 1 species